GAAGUUAUCGUCUUCGGCAGACAGCAGGGCAUUGAUGAAAUUGGGAGGGAUCUCGGCAAAGCGGAUUGGGGUACGGCGCAUUUCGCCAAACUCCGCAAUCAACUUGCCAUCACUGCUAUACACUCGCAGCGGAAUUUGCAGCUGGAUGCUGCGCAACGCCUCCACGGACGGCAGGUUAGGGCUCAGAUAAAGGAAGGCGCCGCUUAUACCGAGCAGCAACGCACAGAAUACGGCGACGAGAGACCACCACAGAAACUUCAGCAGGCGUAUCAAGGCUUUUGGUUUUCCAGAAAA
rnacentral:antisense_RNA from 1 species